rnacentral:rRNA from 1 species
UACGUAGUGUGCAAGCGUUAAUCGGAAUUACUGGGCGUAAAGCGUGCGCAGGCGGUUUUGUAAGUCUGAUGUGAAAUCCCCGGGCUCAACCUGGGAAUUGCAUUGGAGACUGCAAGGCUAGAGUGUGUCAGAGGGGGGUAGAAUUCCACGUGUAGCAGUGAAAUGCGUAGAUAUGUGGAGGAACACCGAUGGCGAAGGCAGCCCCCUGGGAUAACACUGACGCUCAUGCACGAAAGCGUGGGGAGCAAACAGG